GCCAGGCAUGGUGGUGCACGCCUAUAAUCCCAGUGGCUCAGGAGGCCGAAGCAGGAGGAUCUUGAGUUUGAAGCCAGCCUCAGCAAAAAGAAGGCACUAAACAACUCAGGGAGACCCUGUUUCUA
rnacentral:sRNA from 1 species